AUUGAACGCUGGCGGCAUGCCUUACACAUGCAAGUCGAACGGCAGCGCGGGAGCAAUCCUGGCGGCGAGUGGCGAACGGGUGAGUAAUACAUCGGAACGUGCCCAAUCGUGGGGGAUAACGCAGCGAAAGCUGUGCUAAUACCGCAUACGAUCUACGGAUGAAAGCAGGGGAUCGCAAGACCUUGCGCGAAUGUAGCGGCCGAUGGCAGAUUAGGUAGUUGGUGAGGUAAAGGCUCACCAAGCCUUCGAUCUGUAGCUGGUCUGAGAGGACGACCAGCCACACUGGGACUGAGACACGGCCCAGACUCCUACGGGAGGCAGCAGUGGGGAAUUUUGGACAAUGGGCGAAAGCCUGAUCCAGCCAUGCCGCGUGCAGGAUGAAGGCCUUCGGGUUGUAAACUGCUUUUGUACGGAACGAAACGGUCUUUUCUAAUAAAGAAGGCUAAUGACGGUACCGUAAGAAUAAGCACCGGCUAACUACGUG
rnacentral:rRNA from 1 species